rnacentral:tRNA from 1 species
AGUGUGAGGAGAAAUUCUUUUUUUCGAACUCCCGACCAUGAAACCAAGUAUUGAUCUGCAGUCAAACGCUCUGAAUGAAUUAACCACUGAGCUACACACUCUG